AUUGAACGCUGGCGGCAGGCUUAACACAUGCAAGUCGAGCGAGCGGCGGACGGGUGCGUAAUGUGUGGGAAACUGCCUGAUGGAGGGGGAUAACUCCUGGAAACGGUAGCUAAUACCGCAUACCAUCAGCUGCUUCCUGAUGGGAUUAGCUAGUAGGUGGGGUAAUGGCUCACCUAGGCGACGCGCCCUGGCUGGUCUGAGAGGAUGACCGGCCACACUGGAACGGAGACACGGUCCAGACUCCGACGGGAGGCAGCAGUGGGGAAUAUUGCACAAUGGGCGCAAGCCUGAGGCAGCCAUGCCGCGUGUGUGAAGAAGGCCUUCGGGUUGUAAAGCACUUUCAGCGAGGAGGCGUUACUCGCAGAAGAAGCACCGGCUAACUCCGUGCCAGCAGCCGCGGUAAUUC
rnacentral:rRNA from 1 species